GUAAAUGAUGAGAUAAUCUGGAAUCUCGUUCGUCUGAACUGCUGUUGAGAAAACCACAUCUGACAUCA
rnacentral:snoRNA from 1 species